GGGAAUCAACAACAAAUAUUUUACAAUUUAAGAAUCAUCAAAAUAGAAACGAAGAAGAAGAGCAAAAGAAAACCAAGAGUCGUUUACCUUUUAGGGUGCAGCGAAACGGGAGUUGGAUCAAGCAGAGCAACAACUUCACCAGGCCAAACGCCAAAUGCGGAUUGCAACCAAAGGAAAUUGGGAAAAAAUCCGAGAGGUUCUCUUAUUCAGAGAUGUAUUUUCGAGUGUAUCACUAUGAGUUCCCAAUAGCUUUGUGUUUUACUUAAAAAAAGUUUCUAACCAAAAGGAAAUCAAUACAAGUUUUCAACCUUUUCUCACACUAAUUUUCAAA
rnacentral:misc_RNA from 1 species